rnacentral:misc_RNA from 1 species
AGCAGCCGCGGUAAUUCCAGCUCCAAUAGCGUAUAUUAAAGUUGUUGCAGUUAAAAAGCUCGUAGUUGAAUUUCGGGAUCAAUUUGCUGGUCGUGCCUCUGGUACGUACUGGUAUUAUUGGUUUCUCCCUUCUGACGAACCAUGAUGUCAUUAAUUUGAUGUCGUGGAGAAUCAGGACUGUUACUUUGAAAAAAUUAGAGUGUUUAAAGCAGGCAUUAGCUUGAAUACAUUAGCAUGGAAUAAUGAAAUAGGACGUUUGAUCCUAUUUUGUUGGUUUCUAGGAUUGACGUAAUGAUUAAUAGGGAUAGUUGGGGGGCAUUAGUAUUCAAUUGUCAGAGGUGAAAUUCUUGGAUUUAUUGAAGACUAACUACUGCGAAAGCAUUUGCCAAGGAUGCUUUCAUUAAUCAAGAACGAAAGUUAGGGGAUCGAAGACGAUCAGAUACCGUCGUAGUCUUAACCAUAAACUAUGCCGACUAGGGAUCGGAUGAUGUUAAUUUUUUAAUGACUCAUUCGGCGCCUU